GAUGAACGCUAGCGGCAGGCUUAAUACAUGCAAGUCGUGGGGCAGCAGGGGUGUAGCAAUACAUCUGCUGGCGACCGGCAAACGGGUGCGUAACACGUACGCAACCUUCCCGUUACUGUGGCAUAGCCCAGGGAAACUUGGAUUAAUACCACAUAUUAUAUAGAGAGGGCAUCCUUUUUAUAUCAAAGCUUCGGCGGUAACGGAUGGGCGUGCGGUUGAUUAGGUAGUUGGCGGGGUAACGGCCCACCAAGCCUACGAUCAAUAGCUGAUGUAAGAGCAUGAUCAGCCACACGGGCACUGAGACACGGGCGCGACUCCUACGGGAGGCAGCAGUAAGGAAUAUUGGGCAAUGGACGAAAGUCUGACCCAGCCAUGCCGCGUGAAGGAUUAAGGUCCUCUGGAUUGUAAACUUCUUUUCUCUGGGGCGAAAACCAGCUAUUCUUAGCUAUUUGACAGUACCAGAGGAAUAAGCACCGGCUAACUCCGUGCCAGCAGCCGCUGUAAUAC
rnacentral:rRNA from 1 species